UCCCAGCACCCCGAGUGGUCGGGACGAUUAUUGGGCCUAAAGCAUCCGUAGCCGGUCCUGCAAGUCUUCCGUUAAAUCCAGCUGCUCAACAGAUGGGCUGCGGGGGAUACUACAGGGCUAGGAGGCGGGAGAGGCAAGCGGUACUUUAUGGGUAGGGGUAAAAUCCGUUGAUCCAUAGAAGACCACCAGUGGCGAAGGCGGCUUGCCAGAACGCGCUCGACGGUGAGGGAUGAAAGCUGGGGGAGCAAACGGG
rnacentral:rRNA from 1 species